GGCUGGGACAGACAGGUGUGUGUGUGUGUGCGGAGGGCUUCAGGUGGAGAGACAGACAAAGCAGAGGGCAGGACCCUGUGCACUAAACUAGCUCUGGGGCCAGAGUGUGGUACCUUCUUCAGACCCACCUGGGCCAGGUACCCUCUAAACUGCCCUGACCCGGGUAAGAAGCCGGAAAACAGUCGCCAGGAGGAGGGUGGACAGACCCCCUAGAGCGCGUAGCCUAGGAAACCGGUCCGGGUGAGGCAGGCGGGCCGGAGCGGGGCCAGGAGCCGACCAGGGCACAGCGUGUUCAAGAGACACCGGGUGGGACUAGGAAGGGACCCAAGACUGGCGCUCGAUGCAGGUGCUUCAUUCAGACCCGAAUGCGGAGAGGGGAGGCAUCCCCUCUCUUCUCAGUAUUUUUCCAGAAAAAAGGAGGCCGGGGGGUUCUUCCACUCCGGAGGAA